UGUAUUGUGGCUCAGUGAUAGAGCACUUGUCUCACAUGCAUGAGGCGCUGGGUUCAUUCCUCAGCACCACAU
rnacentral:tRNA from 1 species